AUUUGUAAAAUAGCUCCAUUGAUGCCCCAAAUGCCUCUAGAAAGAUCCGAAGUAAUUCGAGCUGUAAUUGUACGUACAUGUAAAGAGUUCAAAUGCGAAGACGGUAUAAUAAUCCGCUAUGAUGACAAUGCUGCGGUUAUAAUUGAUCAAAAAGGCAAUCCAAAAGGAACUCGAGUUUUUGGCGCGAUUGCCGAGGAAUUGAGAGAAUUGAAUUUUACCAAAAUAGUUUCAUUAGCUCCUGAAGUAUUAUAA
rnacentral:rRNA from 1 species